UCCCAGACUCCUACGGGAGGCAGCAGUGGGGGAUAUUGCACAAUGGGGGGAACCCUGAUGCAGCGACGCCGCGUGGGUGAAGAAGCGCCUCGGCGCGUAAAGCCCCGUCAGCAGGGAAGAAAAUGACGGUACCUGAAGAAGAAGCCACGGCUAACUACGUGCCAGCAGCCGCGGUAAUACGUAGGUGGCAAGCGUUGUCCGGAAUUACUGGGUGUAAAGGGAGCGUAGGCGGGAAAGCAAGUUGAAUGUUUAAGGUACGGGCUCAACCUGUACAAGCGUUCAAAACUGUUUUUCUUGAGUGGAGUAGAGGUAAGCGGAAUUCCUAGUGUAGCGGUGAAAUGCGUAAAUAUUAGGAGGAACACCAGUGGCGAAGGCGGCUUACUGGGCUUUAACUGACGCUGAGGCUCGAAAGCGUGGGUAGCAAACAGGAUUAGAUACCCCAGUAAC
rnacentral:rRNA from 1 species